rnacentral:sRNA from 1 species
CGUCUACUUUCAUUUCAUUGACCAGGUGUACAGGUAGGAAGGUAAGAUAAAAUAUGGAAAAGAAACCAUAACCACGUACAGAAAAAAAAUGUCGACUUCCGACACAGUUUGCAAAGAGUUGCAGAUAUUGACGAAAAAACUUGAAGAUUUGGAAACCUCAAACUCAAUGGUUAUAAGAAAAUUAUCUGAAAUUAAUAAAAAAAGGUUGGAAAGUCCUAUGAACACAACUAUUACAGACUUGCAGAGUACCAUACAUUUCUUAAAAACCCAAAGUGGAAAUAGAGAUCAGCAACAUAGGAUAAUAAGAGAAGAGACAUCCAAGUUAGAUAAGAGAGUUGACCAGCUUUCUAAAAGCAUAAAUCGUGUACAAAAAACAACAUAUCCUUUGUAUCGAAAUGCAGGUGCUGAAACAACUGGAUUAAAUAUUCCAAACUCAAAUGAAGGACCAAAGUCAAGGACUCUGGAGCAAACUACUUCACUAAUUGAUGUGUCUGACACACUAAGGUCCGAACCUCCAAAGAAACUGAAAUUCCAUUUUUCCACAAAUUCAGCAGAGGUUAAGAGAAAGAGAAAAUCAGACCAACCUCUUCCAAGACAACCUCUUGCUAAAAACGAUAUUGGACUGAAAUGUCGUUCCGUUUGUACUGAUGAUGACAAUCGUGUGAAAUGUCUAGAAGGCAGAGACCGGGAAUUAUUUAAAACUCCAUCAAAAAGUUCGUCGCUUGAAACAGACGAUAAACUUAAUCUUCCGACUAGAGAUGAAUGGAAAAGGAAAAAACUCCCGAGGAUACGAAAAAUGGAUGGAACCAAACCCAAAUUAAAACUGAGUCCCCAUUAUCAAGCCAGAACACAGAACGAAUUCAGAAAUCUUGCUGGACUUAAUAAAGAUCCAAACGACCAACCAUACAUCAAAGAUUUUAACAGCUGGAUAACUUUAGCUGAAAAAGAAAGACAAAAAGGACUAUCCAUGAAUUUUUUGAAGACAGGACAAGGACCGGAUACUUGUUUAUUGUUAGAUCUGUCUGGAAGUAUGGUUGGUGAGCCGUUUAAUGAAAUGAUGGUGGCAGUGCGAACAUUUGUUGAAGGCAUUGCAUCUGUAUUUGCUACACAGGGGAUAGAGGAAAACCUUGGAAUCGCUACAUUCGGUGAACAAACAGGAGUAAUUCAACACAUGACAAACGAUUAUGACAAAGUGCUGGAAGCACUUGAUUUGUUGGUUCCUUCUGGUCCCUCUCCUAUGGCUGCUGGAUUGUACAUGGCACUAGCAUGCUGUUUUGGUCAUGAUUCUAGUACCCACAUAGGAAAAAUACCUGUAAAGAGCAGAAUUAUAAUGUUCAGUGAUGGUAAAGGCACACUCGACAUAAAAUCGUCAGGAGACGACGACUUUGAAUCACCGCUUGACUUUCUGAAAAGUGUGUGGUUAAAAGAAACUGCUGAAUAUCUAGAGCAACGAAGCAUCCGAGUUUAUACUGUAUCCGUGUGUAGCACGGAACCGGCUUCGCUAGAAGAAGUCUCUGAAACAACUCACGGAAAGAUGUUCAAGAGUACUGAAAUCAACAAGCUUGUCAAAAUGACUCAAAAUACGGCAACAGCAGCAAAGUUAGUUGAAAAUGGCUUUGAUUUCACUGAUUCACAAGUCGACGAUCCAGAAGUUAAAGAGGAAGUCCUACGUUAUAAUCUUCAAGGAGAAUGGGAAGACAUUGUUCUACAAGGAAAAUAUAUAGAGAAGAACUAUAACAUCAAUCACUAUACAGAGCUAGAAGAUAGUAACUUACCACCACUUGGUUCUCGGGUCAGAAGAAAGCCAGGAUGGAGGUAUGGGGACCAGGAUAAGGGCAGACCAGGGACGGUGGUAGGGCAUCAUAAAGAUCUUAUUUCAGUCUUUGUUGAAUGGGAUUAUGGUGCACUUAUCAUAUAUAAGUGUCAUACUCAUUUUGGUCAGGAUGUUAUUUUGGUCAACGAGCCGCGAGUCCUCAGGGAUGAAAUCAUUGCUGUUGGAUGUUGUGUUAAACAGGGAGUUGACUGGAAGUAUGGAAAUGAAGAUGGAGGUUUAGAAAGCAUUGGAGUAGUCCUAAAGGUCAACGCAAACGGAUUGAUCAUUGUAAGGUCAGAUGGCCAGAUAAAAAUAAACAUCAAUACAGAUUUGGAUUUGAUGGCUUGUUUGACGUACAGUUAUGUGAUGGAGUUAAAUCGAGUGGAAGAAAGGAAAUGCCAUCACAAGCUGCAGAUGCAGAGAGCACCGAAGCAUACAUUGCGUCUGGUUCAUCCUCGGAUCAUUUAGAAAAUCGUGAAAUAUAUCGAAAGACGACAGAAGUAAUAAAACAAAAAAGAGACCAAUGUCAAUCAAGGAGUUUAAUGAACGAAACCGUCAACUUCAAACAAAGGAAGGGAAAAGAACGCCAGCAGUUCAAACCAAUUUUAAAACAGACGACGUUGCAUGGGCAUAUAAAAAAGAUGGGAUAUGGUACACUCUUCCUAGAGAUGUGAAUGAAAAAGUGGAAAAAGCAUAUGGACGAAACAAACAUGGUUCGACAAUUCUGGAACUUAAUGGAUGCAUAUGCCAAGCAUCCUUUUCCGACAUGAAGAUGGUGUGUCAGAAAACACAUACAGUUACUGAAAUAGCGAGAAAUGAGGCCAGCAAUUAGACAAACAAAACAAUGGUGGUCUUUAUCAGGAAGUUCUAACUCAACUAGUGUUACUUUCAAAGAAAACACAAUGAUGACAAAAGAUAUUAAAUUCCAAUUUGUCUGUGAUAGAUCUUAUGUUAAUGUUUACCUAUUUACGAAAUAGCUUUCAAAUAUACCCACGGUAUGAUACAUGUAUAUACACUCAACAAAACUUUUAAGUGUUCACCCAGCUGAUAUAUUUCCUUAAAAAAUAGAAACAUGCAUUUGUCUUGCCGUCGGGGUGACUGCACUAACCUUUUAAGUUGUUAAGAACAAUUCAAUAUCCUUGACCUCUGGUUGCAACCCGAGACCUUGGCCUAAGCUUUAUAUCACAAACACUUUCGGUUUGGUUAAAUUUCGCCAAGAUGUUUAAAGUUGCCUAUGAAAAACGAUGUUACACUAAUGAAAUAGAAAAAUUAUAUUAAAAUAAAGUUUCCUUCGGAUUGCUUGAUAUUUAAAACAAUGUCGUGGACAAAAUAAACAGCAAAUUUAAAGUGAGUAGAUUCUGUCGAGGAAACAGUGCAGCAACCAAUAUUCCAACGGAUCUGGCUGUAUUCUCAGUGAUCAUUUUGGUCUUGUUAAAGCUAUACACGCUAUAAUUUACGUCAAUUUUGAAUGACAGUGAAAACGCAUGUGUUUGUCUACUUAUAAAAGUUAUCCUUAAUCUGUAAAUUACAAUGGUGAAUUCCAUCUCGUUACAAAGAUAUAGAUUUUUAAUUGUUUAUUUUCCUGCCGGGAAAAUAUACCUUUUCAUGAAUAUUGAUGAAGGAAAAGCGAAACCGACCUCAUUGCGCAUGUCCGCGGAGAACUAGGCGGUCGUUAUUGUUUGCCUAAUUAAAUAUCCAACUUGAUUUUUAAUAUGCUUAACAGUUGUUAAUUUGAAAUACAUACAUGUAUAAUGAGUAAUAUACGUUUGUCAUUCACGAUACCCUUACUUCUGCAUUAACACUUAUAGGAUCUAUAAAUAGCACAUAGGGGAAAAACACAGGUCUACGUCAUUUUUUUAAAGGAAGUAUUCAUAUCUACUCACAGGCUUGUAUAUUUUUCUUUUGUUUGUACUCGUAUAUCGGAC